ACAUUUCUGAUUAGAUAGCCAACGUUUUGAUGGUAGCUUACUAGCUGUAGUAACAUAAUAUUUGCCUAGUGUUAUUUUUAAUACAUGGACGGGUAUGCU